GUCUGUCUGUCUGUCUGUCUGUCUGUCUGUCUUACUUAAUGCUUGUUGCCUGAGGAGGUCAGAAGAGGGCAUUGAAUCAGAUCUUGGAAGUGGAAUUAUGAACAGUUAGGAAGCACUAUGAGGUACUGGGAUCAGACUUGGUUCUCUGUGAAAACAAGUGCUCUUGACUUCUGAGCUCUCUCUCCAGCUUUACAUCUUGUUUAGUAAGAAUCCUAUUACAUGGACUGAGCGAGCUGCUGUCUGCUCGUGAGGAGUUGGAGUGAGUACUCAGGAAGAUUGUUUCUUCUCUCCUCUGGAUUCUGGGAUUUUAUACACCUAGCAAUAUUCUGGGGUGUCUUUUCCAGUGUAGCCCUGGCUGUCCUGGAACUCCUCUGAAGACCGACAAGGCUGACCUCAAACUCAAGGGUUCACUUGGCUUUACUGCCCAAGUGCUGGGAUCACAGAUAUGCUCCUUCUUGUUAUGUUUGUUUAAACAGCUUGUUUGAGUUGAUAGACUUAGCCCCUAAGAUAAGAACUGACUGACAUAUAGCCCUUCAGUGAGUGACAAAAAAAAGUCUGCAUUGUCCCACGAAUGUUGACAAGGGGAGGUAGAGUUAGAAGACUUAGCAGACCAGAUUGGGUGGAUGGACACAGCACAGUAGGUGAGUCCUUACAGAUGGGCCACUCUGCUCACAGUGGUAGGAAGUAGGUGUGGUCACUCAAUGCUAGCACUCCAGAGCUGGAGCAGGAGACUUAGAACUGCAGCUACACUGUUUCAAACGACCCUGGGCUAUUUGAAACAGUGUUUCCAAAUAAAACAACAAUAACAACAAACAAAAAAAUGGUUAAUGGUCUUUUGUUGCUUUUGUACGGAGCUUGUAUCUGGGUAAAUAAAUAAGCAUUGUUCUUAACUAAAUUUCAAAGCAUUCAUUCUUUUUUUUUUUUUUUUAAAUUUUUAUUUAUUUUAUUAUUAUAUGUAAGUACACUGUAGCUGUCUUCAGACACACCAGAAGAGGGAGUCAGAUCUUGUUACGGAUGGUUGUGAGCCACCAUGUGGUUGCUGGAAUUUGAACUCUGGACCUUCAGAAGAGCAGUCGGGUGCUCUUACCCACUGAGCCAUCUCACCAGCCCCUACAUGAAAUUCUAAUUCAGGGGAUGCAGUACCUCCUCUCACUUCUGUGGACCCUGCUUCAUACGUGGUACACAGACACAUUCAGGCACCCAAAUAGUCACAUAGAUUUUUUUUUUUUCAAGACAGGGUUUCUCUGUGUAGCCCUGGCUGUCUGGAACUCACUCUGUAGACCAGGCUGGCCUCUAACUCAGAAAUCUGCCUGCCUCUGCCUCCCGAGUGCUGGGAUUAAAGGCGUGUGCCACCACACCCGGCAUAGAUAAAUAUUUUAAAGAGCAACUUGUAAGCCCAGUAGAUGAUGGCUGAAUUCUGAACAUGACAAAGUAUUUUCAGGAAGCAAGCCUCUGGGGAGAGGGUGCUUUUCCACCAAGAAGAGCGGGUUUGUAAAUGGAGAUGGACAGAGAUUGGUCUACUGCCACUGCUGUGGAAGUGGGUGUUUGUGGUUUGUGCUGUUUUCCCCCCUGUCUUCCUCCUUGGCAGACCUGGUCAGCAGUGAGGCUACCCACAGUGCUGAGAGCCGCUUCUUGGACUGUCUGCCUGUGUCUGGACAUUGUCAGUGGCCCUUUCUCAGGCGAGGCUAGCCCUUAUCAGCUUUCCCAUACACUCUGCAGCUAGUCCCGUGGCCAGCUGGGAAGACAUUUUCAAUCCUUGAGCACCACAAAGUGGAUACUUUUUUGGUGGUGCUCUAGAUCUGAUCUGCAUCUCACUCUGCCUUUCUCACUUCACCCUUGGGACUGUCUGGCAUACUUUACACAGUCUAAUGGUGCUUUACCAAAGUGGAGAGCCUAGGGUUGUUGGAGGAGCUUUUGUCACUUGUGGAAUUAACUUUGGAUGUCUACAACAAACGUUUGGCCUUUACCUCAGUACUGACUAGGUUCUAGCAUAGCAGAACAUAUCUGUGUCCACUUCAACUUGGCUGCAGGAGGGUUGGAGUAUCUUGAGUGUAGGGUGGGGAGAGUCAGGAUUUUUUUUUUUUUUUUUUUUUUUUUUGGAGACAGGGUUUCUCUGUGUAGCCCUGGCUGUCCUGGAACUCACUUUGUAGACCAGGCUGGCCUCGAACUCAGAAAUCUGCCUGCCUCUGCCUCCGAGUGCUGGGAUUAAAGGCGUGCGCCACCAUGCCUGGCUGAGUCAGGAUGUUUUAAAAGAAAAUGAAACAGUUCCUUUCUGCUUUCUGCUCAUGGCUGUGGAAUUUGGGCAGAGGGGGCCUUUCCUGUGGCUGCCUGUCUGUUAACAGGAGGCUGUGCUGUGGAGAGAGAAGUCCAUACCCUGGUUCUGUAGCAUCCUCUGCACCGCCUUUGAGGAAGCCAUUAGAUCCCUGCUGAGAAGAAAAUUGAGGGAGUUGGAGAGAUGGCUCAGCAUGACCACUGGCUGCUCUUCCAGAGGUUCCAGAGUUCAAUUCCCAAUACCCACAUGACAGCUUACAACCAUCAAUAACUAGUCUCAGGGAAUCUGACACCCUCUUCUGGCCUCCUCAGGCUCUAUACAAAAAGCUAUUUGCAGAUAGAACAUCCAUACACAUAAAAAUAAAUAGAUUGCUAGAAA